ACAGGUCCUUGAGGGAGAUGGAGGGAUAAAUAACUUUGUGUGGUGAUAUGUUACAGGUCCUUGAGGGAGAAGGAGGGAUAAAUAACUUUGUGUGGUGAUAUGUUUCAGGUCCAUGAGGGAGAUGGAGGGAUAAAUAACUUUGUGUGGUGAUAUGUUACAGGUCCUUGAGGGAGAUGGAGGGAUAAAUAACUUUGUGUGGUGAUAUGUUACAGGUCCUUGAGGGAGAUGGAGGGAUAAAUAACUUUGUGUGGUGAUAUGUUUCAGGUCCUUGAGGGAGAUGGAGGGAUAAAUAACUUUGUGUGGUGAUAUGUUACAGGUCCUUGAGGGAGAUGGAGAGAUAAAUAACUUUGUGUGGUGAUAUGUUACAGGUCCUUGAGGGAGAUGGAGGGAUAAAUAACUUUGUGUGGUGAUAUGUUACAGGUCCUUGAGGGAGAUGGAGGGACACACCAUCAGAGGAGAAGCAGGAGCCAUCUGGGAACAUGGGUUAUGCAUGCUGGAUGCACGCAAGCACACACACAUGCAGGCAUGCUCACACACACACACAAACAAACGCGCCCACACACACACAAAUGCACACACACAUGCAGAUGAACACGCAAAUACAGAAAAAACACAUUCAUUUUUACAAGUGAAUUAUUCCAAAAACACAUGUUUUCAUGUGAUCACAUGUUAAGUUAAUGUGAUAACGUGAUCUUAUUUGAAGUUAACGUGAUAACGUGAUCUUAUUUGAAGUUAAUGUGAUAACGUGAUCUUAUUUGAAGUUAAUGUGAUAACGUGAUCUUAUUUGAAGUUAAUGUGAUAACGUGAUCUUAUUUGAAGUUAAUGUGACAACGUGAUCUUAUUUGAAGUUAAUGUGAUAACGUGAUCUUAUUUGAAGUUAAUGUGAUAACGUGAUCUUAUUUGAAGUUAAUGUGAUCACGUGAUCUUAUUUGAAGUUAAUAUGAUAACAUGUGACAACAUGUGACAUGGAACUGCACAUGUGAAAAGGUGAUUACACGUUACAUUUCUCAUGUGUUUUUUCUGUGAGGGACACACACAAUAUCACCUUGUACAUGAAGGAUACAACAAAUAUAUUCUAUUUAACCAUGUGUGUAUCACUGUAACAGCUUAAAUAAAGGAUAUGUUGUAAUGAUGAUACAUCUUAUAAACAGCUACAGUAAUUCUAUCUGCUUUGUAUUGUGUAUUGAAUUGUUGGGUUGUAAAAAUACUGAAAUGUAUUAUCAUUGAUUCAUUAUUUCUGUCAUUCAGAUAAUAGAAUAACAUAUUUUGUAUAUGAAUGUCACAUAUACAUGUUUGCUUCUAGUGACCUCUACUUUUACAAUAACUUUGCAUCAUGCUUUUAAAUAAACAUUACAUUUUUUAUCCACCA